GGAUCAAUAGUACAGUGUUUAGUACUUCUGGGUCACAAUCACAAGGUCACUGGUUCGAAUCCAACUAAGAAACA